rnacentral:misc_RNA from 1 species
ACGUCAAAUUGAUAAUUUGUGCCAUUUCAGUAUAUAUGUAAAAUAUGCGUUUAUAUAUAUAUAAACUCUGAAGAAAGAAGGAGAAGAAAGAAAUUUGUUAUGAUGUACUUUUAAACAUGAUUUAUAUUUCAGAAAGAAAUGUCCCAACAAAAUGAAACUUUUUUGACAUUAGAUUGGACUAUUCUUUCAUAAGCAUGGUCGUCAUUACGUUUACACGAUGCUGUCCUCAUUUUCGUCAUAGUCCCAGUUUAUGUACUGAACACGUUUUCUUCCGGUUUAUUUUUAUAUCAACUCGUACGUGGGACAAUAAGCUUACAUUCCGUGUGGAAGGAACAAAGUGAAAUUGUAGUUCACCUUUGUACAAUUGUACUUAUACUUCCCUUUCAUUGUUGUGUUUUAUUUCAUCCUACCUUACAAUGGAACAGUCUCACUUGCCACUUAACUGGAGAACGCCAUGUACAUCUGAGUCAUUUCAUUUUGUAAUUUGUUGUUAAGUUAAUGUAUCAAGCCUUGUAUGGAGAUUUGCUGUUUGUUUCAUAAAUUAAUAAAAGGAGUUUAAUU